AACAUCGAAGGGAUGAAGGUUCCAGGCAUUGCGCUACUGUCAACUGCUGUCGACAGUUUUGUCGAUAUUUCACAUACAGAAUUCAAAGAAUUGCAAAGUACGCUUGUACGGGAGCCGGGGACAAUAGGGAUAUACUUCGGCAAAAACAGGGAAUGCACCUUGGAGCAAAUGAUUAAAAGGAAACACGUUUGCCAGAAAAGAGCGUACCGAAUUCCUCUGGGGAAACUGAUGCCAUUCACGCAACAUAUGAUAGCCCAGUGGAAUUCGGGAUGAUGCCCCCAAUGAGAGUGAU
rnacentral:lncRNA from 1 species